AAUGUCCAGAUAGCCAUGCAUGUCUCAGUAUAAGCUUCUAUACGGCGAAACUGCGAAUGGCUCAUUAAAACAGUUAUAGUUUAUUUGGUGGUCAGCAAUUACAUGGAUAACCGUGGUAAUUCUAGAGCUAAUACAUGCGCCCAAACCCGACUUCGUGGAAGGGUUGUGUUUAUUAGAUACAGAACCAACCCAGGCUCCGCCUGGCCUUGAGGUGAUUCAUAAUAACCGAACGAAUCGCAUGGCUAUGCCGGCGAUAGACCAUUCAAGUUUCUGACCUAUCAGCUAUCGUCGGUAGGGUAUUGGCCUACCGUGGCAAUGACGGGUAACGGAGAAUUAGGGUUCGAUUCCGGAGAGGGAGCCUGAGAAACGGCUACCACAUCUAAGGAAGGCAGCAGGCGCGCAAAUUACCCAAUCCUGACGCAGGGAGGUAGUGACAAGAAAUAACAAUACAGGGCAUACAUGUCUUGUAAUUGGAAUGAGUAAACAUUAAAUCACUUUAC
rnacentral:rRNA from 1 species